rnacentral:tRNA from 1 species
GGGCCAUUAGCUCAGAUGGUAGAGCAGGAGACUUUUAAUCUCUGUGUCGCAGGUUCGAGUCCUGCAUGGCUCA